AUUGAACGCUGGCGGCAUGCCUUACACAUGCAAGUCGAACGGUAACAGGUCUUCGGAUGCUGACGAGUGGCGAACGGGUGAGUAAUACAUCGGAACGUGCCCGAUCGUGGGGGGAUAACGCAGCGAAAGCUGUGCUAAUACCGCAUACGAUCUACGGAUGAAAGCGGGGGAUCGCAAGACCUCGCGCGGACGGAGCGGCCGAUGGCAGAUUAGAUAGUUGGUGGGAUAAAAGCUUACCAAGCCGACGAUCUGUAGCUGGUCUGAGAGGACGACCAGCCACACUGGGACUGAGACACGGCCCAGACUCCUGCGGGAGGCAGCAGUGGGGAAUUUUGGACAAUGGGGGGCAACCCUGAUCCAGCCAUGCCGCGUGAGUGAAGAAGGCC
rnacentral:rRNA from 1 species